rnacentral:ribozyme from 1 species
UUAUCUACUUCUGCAGAAAAUUUAACAGCUGCGGAAUCUCGUAUUCGCGACGUAGAUUAUGCUUUAGCCGCAUAAGCGGUGACAAGCACAGUCGUCCUCACUGGAAACGGUGAGGAGUAUGACCGGGUGAAUUGCUGGAAACCCCUGAGAGCCUUUGGCGCCACAACGAAGCUGGAAACGGCAAGCGUGACGGCUUGAAAAGUCAAAGGAUUGGGCAACCGAGCAGCCAAGCUCCUGUGAGGAAACUCUGGAGAAGGUUCAACGACUAGGACAAACCACCUAAGGCGCGAGCUAUGGUGAUGAAGUCCGUAGGGUGAGUAGGAUGCUCCAUCGUCCUACAUCAUUCGAAGUGCCCGGCCCCUACCUAGCGAAAAGCUAGCGGGUGAAGAGAUAGUCUAGUCAUUUGCGAAAGCAAUGU